UACGAAGGGGGCUAGCGUUGUUCGGAUUCACUGGGCGUAAAGGGUGCGUAGGUGGCCAGGUAAGUUUGAUGUGAAAGCUCGGAGCUUAACUCCGAAAUGGCAUUGAAUACUAUCUGGCUUGAGGGUCGGAGGGGAGACUGGAAUUCUCGGUGUAGCAGUGAAAUGCGUAGAUAUCGAGAGGAACACCAGUGGCGAAGGCGAGUCUCUGGACGACACCUGACACUGAGGCACGAAAGCUAGGGGAGCAAACAGG
rnacentral:rRNA from 1 species